rnacentral:rRNA from 1 species
GUAUGCCCGUCACCUGCGGCGAGUGAAGCGGCAAAAGCUCAAAUUUGAAAUCCUUCGGGAGUUGUAAUUUGUAGGUUGGGAGACCCCGCGGCUAGUGGCACCAAGUCCCUUGGAACAGGGCGCCUUAGAGGGUGAGAGCCCCGUAGGUACCACAACACCGUCUUGUGUCUCCUCUCCAAAGAGUCGAGUUGUUUGGGAAUGCAGCUCAAAGUGGGUGGUAAAUUCCAUCUAAAGCUAAAUACCGGCGAGAGACCGAUAGCGAACAAGUACAGUGAUGGAAAGAUGAAAAGCACUUUGAAAAGAGAGUGAAACAGUACGUGAAAUUGUUGAAAGGGAAGGGCUUGCAAGCAGACACGGCCUUCGUGCCGGGCCAGCAUCGGUUGCUAGGGGUGGAUAAGGAACAAGGAAUGUAGCUCCUCGGAGUAUUAUAGCCUUGCGCGAUACACCCACUGGCGACCGAGGCCUGCGGUAUUCUUUACCUAGGAUGCUGGCGUAAUGGUUGCAAGCCGCCCGUCUUGAAACACGGACCAAUGCAA